CCCCGGUUAUCAGGAUUCUUUUCAUUACCUUAGGUUAAAUAAUGAAUAUAUCGGAAAUGCCAGUAUCGCAUAAGAGAUGAAGGUCGCCCAGGCCGCGCCGCUUAUCCCAUAAUCGGGGAUCAAAAGCAGGUUCAAGAUAAUGUUGGCGACCAUGGCCGCAACCGAGCUUAUGAAAAGUAGAAAUUUCUUAUUCUCCGUAAUGAGGAAAUGCAAUAUGACCAGGCUGAGGGCGGUCCAAAUGCUUGCCCAAAUAUAUAUAGAGAGAACCCCUGCGCCGUUCAAGUAAGCCGGCCCGUAUAUCAAUCCCAUGAUGAGCGGAGAGAAAAUCGAAACAGGGAUGGAUAUAAGGCAGGUCAAGG
rnacentral:misc_RNA from 1 species